rnacentral:rRNA from 1 species
UACGUAGGGUCCGAGCGUUGUCCGGAAUUACUGGGCGUAAGGAGCUCGUAGGUGGUUUGUCGCGUUGUUCGUGAAAACUCACAGCUCAACUUCGGGCGUGCAUCCGAAACUGCCCGACUAGAGGUAGGUAGGGGAGAUCGGAAUUCCCGGUGUAGCGGUGAAAUGCGCAGAUAUCGGGAGGAACACCUAUGGCGAAGGCAGCUCGCUGGGACGUUACUGACGCUGAGACGCGAAAGCGUGGGGAGCAAACAGG